CGGGGGAGCAAGCGCUGUUCGGAUUUACUGGGCGUAAAGGGCGCGUAGGCGGCCUCUGCAAGUCGACUGUGAAAUCUCCGGGCUUAACCCGGAACGGUCAGCCGAUACUGCAGGGCUAGAGUGCAGAAGGGGCAACUGGAAUUCUCGGUGUAGCGGUGAAAUGCGUAGAUAUCGAGAGGAACACCUGCGGCGAAGGCGGGUUGCUGGGCUGACACUGACGCUGAGGCGCGAAAGCUAGGGGAGCGAACGGGAUUAGAUACCCCGGUAGUCCUAGCCUUAAACGAUGAAUGCUUGGUGUCUGGGGUUUUAUAGUCCCCGGGUGCCGUCGCUAACGCUUUAAGCAUUCCGCCUGGGGAGUACGGUCGCAAGACUG
rnacentral:rRNA from 1 species